UACGUAGGGUGCAAGCGUUAUUCGGAAUUACUGGGCGUAAAGCGUGCGCAGGCGGCUUCGCAAGUCAGAUGUGAAAUCCCCGGGCUUAACCUGGGAACUGCAUUUGUGACUGCAUGGCUGGAGUGCGGCAGAGGGGGAUGGAAUUCCGCGUGUAGCAGUGAAAUGCGUAGAUAUGCGGAGGAACACCGAUGGCGAAGGCAAUCCCCUGGGCCUGCACUGACGCUCAUGCACGAAAGCGUGGGGAGCAAACAGG
rnacentral:rRNA from 1 species